ACGCUCGACACCUACGGGAUGCAGCAGUGAGGGAUAUUGGUCAAUGGGGGAAACCCUGAACCAGCAACGCCGCGUGAGGGAUGACGGUCUUCGGAUUGUAAACCUCUGUCCUCUGUGAAGAUAAUGACGGUAGCAGAGGAGGAAGCUCCGGCUAACUACGUGCCAGCAGCGCGGUAAUCUGAGCGGGCUGGCAAGGC
rnacentral:rRNA from 1 species